UUAGUUAGGGACUUGGCCAUAUACCU
rnacentral:piRNA from 1 species